rnacentral:rRNA from 1 species
GUAGUCCAUGCCGUAAACGUUGGGCACUAGGUGUGGGGACCUUUGGUUUCUGCGCCGUAGCUAACGCAUUAAGUGCCCCGCCUGGGGAGUACGGCCGCAAGGCUAAAACUCAAAGGAAUUGACGGGGGCCCGCACAAGCGGCGGAGCAUGCGGAUUAAUUCGAUGCAACGCGAAGAACCUUACCAAGGCUUGACAUACACUGGAAGACUGCAGAGAUGUGGUUGCCUUCGGGCUGGUGUACAGGUGGUGCAUGGUUGUCGUCAGCUCGUGUCGUGAGAUGUUGGGUUAAGUCCCGCAACGAGCGCAACCCUUGUCUCGUGUUGCCAGCAUUUGGUUGGGGACUCACGAGAGACUGCCGGGGUUAACUCGGA